rnacentral:rRNA from 1 species
UGGGGAAUAUUGGACAAUGGACCAAGAGUCUGAUCCAGCAAUUCUGUGUGCACGAUGAAGUUUUUCGGAAUGUAAAGUGCUUUCAGUUGGGAAGAAAGAAAUGACGGUACCAACAGAAGAAGUGACGGCUAAAUACGUGCCAGCAGCCGCGGUAAUACGUAUGUCACGAGCGUUAUCCGGAUUUAUUGGGCGUAAAGCGCGUCUAGGUGGUUAUGUAAGUCUGAUGUGAAAAUGCAGGGCUCAACUCUGUAUUGCGUUGGAAACUGUAUAACUAGAGUACUGGAGAGGUAAGCGGAACUACAAGUGUAGAGGUGAAAUUCGUAGAUAUUUGUAGGAAUGCCGAUGGGGAAGCCAGCUUACUGGACAGAUACUGACGCUGAAGCGCGAAAGCGUGGGUAGCAAACAGGAUUAGAUACCCUGGUAGUCCACGCCGUAACGAUGAUUACUAGGUGUUGGGGGUCGAACCUCAGCGCCCAAGCAAACGCGAUAAGUAAUCCGCCUGGGGAGUACGUACGCAAGUAU